UCAGAGGAUAGUGAACUGUCUACAACAAAUGGAUCCAUACUAUUUGACUACUACAUUGCUGUGUUUCCUUCCCGAGUGUCAAGUGGUUGA
rnacentral:miRNA from 1 species